GGCCGUGUGGCUCAGUUGGUAGAGCAUGGUGUUUGCAAUGCCAGGGUUGUGGGUUCGAUUCCCAGGGGGACCA
rnacentral:tRNA from 1 species